rnacentral:rRNA from 1 species
UACGGAGGGUGCAAGCGUUAUCCGGAUUCACUGGGUUUAAAGGGUGCGUAGGUGGGCUAGUAAGUCAGUGGUGAAAUCUCCGGGCUUAACCCGGAAACUGCCAUUGAUACUAUUAGUCUUGAAUACCAUGGAGGUGAGCGGAAUAUGUCAUGUAGCGGUGAAAUGCUUAGAUAUGACAUAGAACACCCAUUGCGAAGGCAGCUAACUACGCGAUAAUUGACGCUGAUGCACGAAAGCGUGGGGAUCAAACAGG